rnacentral:rRNA from 1 species
CUUUAUCUCGGNCUGGUCGUGCGCGUUGCUUCCGGAUAUCACCAAACCCCGGCACGAAAAGUGUCAAGGAACAUGCAACCGAACGGCCGGUAUUCGCCUCCCCGGAGACGGUGUGUGCGCGGAUGCUGAGCUGCGAUCUAAAGUCUAAAACGACUCUCGGCAACGGAUAUCUCGGCUCUCGCAUCGAUGAAGAACGUAGCGAAAUGCGAUACUUGGUGUGAAUUGCAGAAUCCCGUGAACCAUCGAGUCUUUGAACGCAAGUUGCGCCCCAAGCCUUCUGGCCGAGGGCACGUCUGCCUGGGUGUCACAAAUCGUCGUCCCCCACUCAUCCUCUAAGGAUUCGGGACGGAAGCUGGUCUCCCGUGUGUUACCGCACGCGGUUGGCCAAAAUCCGAGCCAAGGACGCAGGGAGCGUCCCGACAUGCGGUGGUGAACUCGAUCCACUUUCCUAUCGUCGGCCGCUCCUGUCCGGAAGCUCUAGAUGACCCAAAGUCCUCAAAGCGAC